GACGAACGCUGGCGGCGGGCUUAACACAUGCAAGUCGAACGGAAAGGCCCUGCUUUUGUGGGGUGCUCGAGUGGCGAACGGGUGAGUAACACGUGAGUAAGCUGCCCUUGACUUUGGGAUAACUUCAGGAAACUGGGGCUAAUACCGGAUAGGAGCUCGUGCUGCAUGGUGGGGGUUGGAAAGUUUCGGCGGUUGGGGAUGGACUCGCGGCUUAUCAGCUUGUUGGUGGGGUAGUGGCUUACCAAGGCUUUGACGGGUAGCCGGCCUGAGAGGGUGACCGGCCACCUUGGGACUAAGAUACGGCCCAGACUCCUACGGGGGGCAGCAGGGGGGAAUAUUGCACAAUGGGCGGACGCCUGAUGAAGAAACGCCGCGUGCGGGAUGACGGCCUUCGGGUUGUAAACCGCUUUAGCCUGUGACGAAGCGUGAGUGACGGUAAUGGGUGAAGAAGCACCGGCUAACUACGUG
rnacentral:rRNA from 1 species